rnacentral:rRNA from 1 species
UACGAAGGGGGCUAGCGUUGCUCGGAAUCACUGGGCGUAAAGCGCACGUAGGCGGAUUGUUAAGUCAGGGGUGAAAUCCUGGAGCUCAACUCCAGAACUGCCUUUGAUACUGGCGAUCUUGAGUCCGGGAGAGGUGAGUGGAACUCCGAGUGUAGAGGUGAAAUUCGCAGAUAUUCGGAAGAACACCAGUGGCGAAGGCGGCUCACUGGCCCGGUACUGACGCUGAGGUGCGAAAGCGUGGGGAGCAAACAGG